rnacentral:rRNA from 1 species
UACAGAGGGUGCGAGCGUUGUCCGGAAUCACUGGGCGUAAAGGGCGCGUAGGUGGCGCCGCAAGUCCAUGGUGAAAGCUCGAUGCUCAACAUCGAGUCGGCCACGGAGACUGCGGGGCUCGAGCGACUGUAGGGGCAGAUGGGAAUUCCGGGUGUAGCGGUGGGAAUGCGUAGAGAUCCGGAAGAACACCGGUGGCGAAGGCGGCAUCCUGGACCG